GCCCUAAAGCGACGGGUUGAAGUUGAUCCGGUCGUUUCGCAUCCGAAGGCGCGACGAGACACUGGAAUCGAGCACGGAAGAGUCGAGCGAAACGCCGGCCACAGCGACGACGGUGGGAGCGCUGCUCGGGCUGCGCACCCAGUUGUACUCCAACGCCCUCCGCAAACUCUCCCUACAUGCGCCAUCCGUGGGAGCACGUGGUGCGUUGGGGCUGGGGCGGUCUUCUUCUUGACAAAGCCAAGGUCGCCAAUGAGCGCAGAUACUUCGGAGGUUUCCACGUUGUGGCAGGGAAAGCUUUAAUGUUUGUGACAGAAAUUUGAAUGGAUCGGCAUUUAUGCGAAGUAUGAUUUUGUUGGGACGAUGGCACAAAUAUCAGGUUUAGAGCAGUAUGCCAAUGUAACUCUUUUGGUGGUUAUACAUUACAAAAACCUUGUGAUUUUCCAAGGACCAGUUGUUUAUUAUUGAUUCUCUAGCAGAAACUAUUAUAUGAUAAUAUUCAUUUUAUA